UACGGGGGGGCGGAAGCGUUGUUCGGAAUUACUGGGCGUAAAGGGCGCGUAGGCGGCCUGUUAAGUCGAACGUGAAAUCCCCGGGCUCAACCCGGGAACUGCGUCCGAUACUGGCAGGCUUGAAUCCGGGAGAGGGAUGCGGAAUUCCAGGUGUAGCGGUGAAAUGCGUAGAUAUCUGGAGGAACACCGGUGGCGAAGGCGGCAUCCUGGACCGGCAUUGACGCUGAGGCGCGAAAGCCAGGGGAGCAAACGGGG
rnacentral:rRNA from 1 species